GACGAACGCUGGCGGCGUGCUUAACACAUGCAAGUCGAACGCUGAAGCUCAGCUUUUGUUGGGUGGAUGAGUUGCGAGCGGGUGAGUAACACGUGAGUAACCUGCCCCCUUCUUUGGGAUAACGCCCGGAAACGGGUGCUAAUACUGGAUAUUCUCUGUUCUUCGCAUGGGGGUUGGUGGAAAGGGUUUUUCUGGUGGGGGAUGGGCUCGCGGCCUAUCAGCUUGUUGGUGGGGUGAUGGCCUACCAAGGCUUUGACGGGUAGACGGCCUGGGAGGGUGACCGGUCAGAUAGGGACUGAGGUACGGCCCAGACUGAGACGGGAGGCAGCAGUGGGGAAUAGUGCGCAAUGGGGGCAAGUCUGAUGCAGCGGCGCGGCGGGAGGGAUGGAGGCGGUCGGGUGGUGAAGCUCUUUCGGUCAUGGUGAAGCCUCAACAAGGGUGGUGGUGAGGGUAGUGGGUAAAGAAGCUCCGGCUAACUACGUG
rnacentral:rRNA from 1 species